AUGAGACCAGCCUCCUUGCCGACAAAACUAAAACGCGGCUCGUUCCCAACACGGUCGCUCCCCGGGCCCAGACGCAGCAACCGCAACGCCCACCGCCACCUCUCCAACUGCGCAGCCGCACACUCUCCGCGGCGCUCCGGCCCCCUCCCAUCUGCCGCAGUUAGGAAAGACCGAGAAGCGCGGGCGGAGCCGCCCCCGCCCUCCGCAGGGCCAGCCCAAAGGCGGCCUCGCGGGGGCGUCACAGCAGGUGGAAGCCGGAAUCUCGCGACGCUACCGCCGCGCCUGCGCCAACAGCAGCGGGCGGGCUCUCCGCGGCCACAAAAUGGCGGCGCAGAAGCAGCGGCAGAAUCAGCAGCAGCAGCAGAGCUGCGCGUGCCAAACUCCCUUCUCUCGCCUCCUCCCAGCAACUCCCCCGUUCUGGGGUCACUGGGGCCGCCCUCAAAAAGGCCCAACCGCAUCGCCAGCAAAGUCAGAACCGGCCCACUACUCGACGGGUCCGGGUAAUGAAGACGUUAAGCCUGGCAGGGAGGGGCGCGCAGCCGCCGUCAAAACGACCCCAACACUGACCGCCAUUCCAUCUCAAUACCCUUAAAACAGUAUGCCAAAAGGGAGACGUGCCCCAGCGCCCACCUCGAAUCAACUGUGCUCAUUAUAAACGCCGUCCUCCGCAAAGAAAGCAGCCCCGGGACACUCACGGUGCGAGCGGCCGUGAAGAAACCUCGAUCCGAGAAGGGCUGCCCUCAAAGUGGGCCACUCACCUUCCGGACGGGGUCUUUGGCGGCUGAGACCCAGACAGGUCCGUAGUCUGCGACGGAGUCGUCGGCCUCCACGCAAACCAGGACCUCACUCGUCUCCGUCUCUCCACAACUGACGCACUUAGCGGCUCUAGCGCUCCACAAAAUGGAGGGCGCGUCCUGCGUCACUUCCGGUGACGCCCCUGGGCCGUGGGUCCGCCUCCUUGGGACCCAGGGAAGACGGAAGUGUCGCGGGACCCUGACACUGCGAGCUGCUGACCUCGCCGCCCGCGGUGGGUGGAGCCAGGGGCGGGAACUCGCUUGGGUGCGGCCAGCAAGUCCCUGAGUCGGGAGGGACACCCGUUGAAGUGUUUCUCCGCUUCUAAAGCCUUGGAGUCCGGUUCGUCAUCAUCUCUCCCGGAAGACUCUCCUGAGAUAAAUUUCACCCCUUUUUGUAUCUAGUUUUUCGUAGAUACCCAGAAGAUUGCUAAUUAGGAGAGACUUAGCUUUGCAAAAAUACCUGGCCUUUCCUUACCGCACUGCUUGCAAUGUAAAUUUGCCCUCAAAGCAGGGGAGCUCCUAGAUGUUCGAGUUUUUGUUUGUUUUUUUUUUCAACCAUGCCACAGCUGUAUGGUUUAGUUGUACUGAGAAGACUAAGGAACUGAAGUAUUUUUUAAAUAAAAGGGUUUGAGUGAUGAAAUGUUGAAAACAGGAUUGCAGCUGGAAGGCUGUCUUGAAUUGAGGCUGUAAUACAGAUUUCUGCGUUUCCGUCACUCU